CGGCAUCCCAGGAAUGCAGUGAUGUGGGCAGAAACCAAGUGAGUUCACGCCACUGAGCGCUUUAAAUGGGACCAAAUCAGCAGCCGUCCAGAAAGGCUCCAGUGAAAACAGAACUGUCAUUAAUGCAGAAAAUGCUUCUAUGCUUGGUGACCCUCUGGAAAACAGUCAGCCAUAAAGUUAUACAAGAGAAUCUCAAAAGCUUGGCAAACAGAGAAGUAAAGGAUAACAAUGAGACAGAUGCAAACAAGAUGUCCUAGCUUGCCAUCCUGGCC
rnacentral:lncRNA from 1 species